AUACGGAGGAUGCAAGCGUUAUCCGGAUUCAUUGGGUUUAAAGGGUGCGCAGGCGGAAUGAUAAGUCAGUGGUGAAAUCUCCCGGCUCAACCAGGAAACUGCCAUUGAUACUGUCGUUCUUGAGUACAGUUGAAGUGGGCGGAAUGUGUCAUGUAGCGGUGAAAUGCUUAGAUAUGACACAGAACACCGAUAGCGAAGGCAGCUCACUAAGCUGUAACUGACGCUCAUGCACGAAGGCGCGGGGAUC
rnacentral:rRNA from 1 species